UGGGGAAUAUUGCACAAUGGGCGCAAGCCUGAUGCAGCGACGCCGCGUGGGGGAUGACGGCCUUCGGGUUGUAAACUCCUUUCGCUAGGGACGAAGCUUUUUGUGACGGCACCUAGAUAAGAAGCACCGGCUAACUACGUGCCAGCAGCCGCGGUAAUACGUAGGGUGCGAGCGUUGUCCGGAAUUACUGGGCGUAAAGGGCUCGUAGGUGGUUUGUCGCGUCGUCUGUGAAAUUCCGGGGCUUAACUCCGGGCGUGCAGGCGAUACGGGCAUAACUUGAGUACUGUAGGGGUAGCUGGAAUUCCUGGUGUAGCGGUGAAAUGCGCAGAUAUCAGGAGGAACACCGAUGGCGAAGGCAGGUUACUGGGCAGUUACUGACGCUGAGGAGCGAAAGCAUGGGUAGCGAACAGG
rnacentral:rRNA from 1 species